rnacentral:rRNA from 1 species
AUUGAACGCUGGCGGCAGGCCUAACACAUGCAAGUCGAACGAGUGGCGGACGGGUGAGUAAUGACUGGGAAACUGCCUGAUGGAGGGGGAUAAAUACUGGAAACGGUAGCUAAUACCGCAUACCAUCGGAUGUGCCCAGAUGGGAUUAGCUAGUAGGGUGGGUAACGGCUCACCUAGGCGACGAUCCCUAGCUGGUCUGAGAGGAUGACCAGCCACCCUGGAACUGAGACACGGUCCAGACUCCUACGGGAGGCAGCAGUGGGGAAUAUUGCACCAUGGGCGCAAGCCUGAUGCAGCCAUGCCGCGUGUAUGAAGAAGGCCUUCGGGUUUUAAAGUCCUUUCAGCGGGGAGGCGUUACCCGCAGAAGAAGCACCGGCUAACUCCGUGCCAGCAGCCGCGGUAAUAC